AUUGGCCAGGGAGUAUGAUUCUUUGUAGUUGAGGGCGAGGAUUCCAUCACGAGGCCGAAGGUGGGUGUCCACAGGGUAGAAACGCCCUCUAAGAGGGGGAGAGUCAGACAAGUUCGAGACAGUCAAGUUUGUCGGCUCAUAACAGUCAGGUCAACUUCAUCGAGUCAUCAGUUAGGUUAGCCUAAUUGAGCUCAACCCGAUCCGAAACAAUAGCCUCCUUACCUCAGUGACAUCCGCACUCGAAUAUUAGCCGUCGCAUUAGUCAGUCGAACCGCUAGAGAGAGGGAGUAGGAGGCCGCCCCUAUUGGGUAUAUACCACGCCGCCGAAAUGGAGAGGAUGAGAGGAGGGCCGCUAUCACAGCCUGGAGUGCCCUCUCCACCUGCCCCAUAGUGUGUUAUAGACUAAAUUAAUUGAAGUGAAGGACAAUCGGAGGAGGGGAAGAGCAAAUCCGAGACCACCAGAGUGAGGAAGCCACCAGAUGGAGAAGGACAAAGCUCAAGCCAUCGAGAAGGAGACCGUGACGCCCUCACCAUUUCGGAGUCGACGCCUUUGCAUCACCCCACCGCCGCUACCCAUCUGAAGAAGAGGAAGGAGCAGGAGAAGAGGGGAGGGAGGGGCCAUCGGAAAAACUAAGACCAGUAGAGAGUAGAGGAGAGUAGCUUCUCGAUGGCGGAAUGUCGGGUGCGUCCGGCAAAGGGUUGAAAACGAGGGUUUCUACUGUGUAGGAGAGGGGUUGGGGGGGAAGAGCAGGGGAGGGAGCAAACUAAUAAACCAAUAAAUCGAUCUGCUAUAUUAUUAUAAUUAUUAUUUACUCCCUACGACAGGAUCGGUGGAUCUUUUUAUUUGUAACUUCAUUUCAUACAGGAUGAUGAUAUGAAAUGAAGUGGAUCUAUGCUAGAACGGGAUUUUGUUUGGUCGAUAAUCAUUAUUAUGUUUAUUUGGAUUA